AAGGGUAUAGCUCGGUGGUAGAGCAUGUGCUUAGCAUGCACAAGGUCCUGGGUUCAAUCCCCAGUGCCUCCA
rnacentral:tRNA from 1 species